UGACUAGACGCGUUUUGUAAAAGACCUUCUCCCCCCACCUCCGUCCGCUUGCCUGACCCACAGUUUAUUUUUAUCCGUUUUUAACUUGGAGCCAUCUCAAAAGCAAACUAAGAACUGACUGCUCGUCAGCUCACUUGGAGAAGGCACAACCAGCUUUCGACGGAGCGCGGCCUGCAGUCAGCACCGGGCAGAAUGCACCGGCUGGCCCUUCCCACAGGACGAGCAGAGGCGCGACUCCGGCCUCCCAGGUUUCGGUUAGACCGCAACAGAAAGUUUUCUCUUCCCUUGCGGGAAGCAGUGCAACCAAAGAGAAAUUUGAACUCCCACUCCCACGGGAGCACCCAGAGGUGACGCUUACAUCUUAGCACCCAGUUAUCGGAGUCCCUAAGUUGUGACCUCCUUAGCGGCUUCCCCAGUAUCUUGAAGUUCUUGGAGAGCUGGAACGGUGGCCUGUUGCCCUGUAUGACAUCAGUCUUCAGAAUGUUUGAAGGCAGAACUGUGUCUCCCGCUCCUGGAUGGUCAAGGUCUUACACAGCACCAGAACUUAGGAAGCAUGUCAGUGAACAUGAGUGAAUCUGGAAGGGCCUCUAUUCGUAUUUAGCCUGAGAAAGUCAUUGCUUUGGAUGAAAGCACUGCCUCUCCAAGCAUCCUCUUAAAAAAUGCAAAUACUCAGAGGAAAUGUAAGGUACGGCCCUGUUGCCCAGCAAUUCUCGUUUUUGGCAGCUAUCAGAACAAGGGGAAAUACAAACACUGGAUUUUAGAGAACAGUCUGAGUAUGAUAGAAAGGGCACUAAUUUGGUUAACUAAUUUGGAAAACAGUUUGGCAUAUCUCCUAAAGUUGAAUAUUUGUAUGCGUAUGAUCCAACAAUUCAUUCCAAGGGAUGGACCCAAGGGAAACUCAUGCAGAUUUACAACAGGAGAUGUGUGCAAGAAUGUUCAUUGCUGCACUGAUCACAGUGUGAAAACCUGGAAACAGCUCAAAUGCCCAUCAACAGGAGAGUGGAUGGAUGAAUUGUAAUAUAUUCACAAACUGACUAUCACAUGGCAAUAAAAACAAAUGAACUACGCUAAUUCACUACAAUGUGGAUAAAUCCUAGAAAUGAAACAUUAAGUGAAGAAAGCAGAUGUCCUAAAAGUAUACAAUAUCAUAUAAUUUGUAUAGAGUUGAAAACAAUAUAAGAAUAUACUUUAUAAGCUUAAAUCUUAGUUCAUUCAAACACUGCCUGAAAUCUUUGGAAGGAUUGACAGAAGAGGUAAAACUUGAAUCAUAAAUAUAGUUGGAUUGACAGAAAAUGAGUGAUCUGUUCUACUGUGUGAUUAAGCAUAGACUGAGGCGGGAAUAUGUUUGGUGACUAAGAAGAUAAAAAGAUGAUACUGUCAAGAGUACAACUAGACGUGAGCUUUCUAAAAGCUGGUAUUGUGUGUUAUUUAUCCUUGUAUCCCCGUGGCCUGGCAAGGUCCCUAGAAAAAUAGAGUUCAACAACUGUUUGUUAAGUGGAUUAAAUAAAUGAGUAAAAACAUAACUUAAAAAAUAAUAUACUUUAUAGAACUACAUAUAGA